GGGAUCGCCCUUUCCGUAGGUGAACCUGCGGAGGGAUCAUUACAAGUUGACCCCGGCCCUCGGGCCGGGAUGUUCACAACCCUUUGUUGUCCGACUCUGUUGCCUCCGGGGCGACCCUGCCUCCGGGCGGGGGCCCCGGGUGGACAUUUCAAACUCUUGCGUAACUUUGCAGUCUGAGUAAAUUUAAUUAAUAAAUUAAAACUUUCAACAACGGAUCUCUUGGUUCUGGCAUCGAUGAAGAACGCAGCGAAAUGCGAUAAGUAAUGUGAAUUGCAGAAUUCAGUGAAUCAUCGAAUCUUUGAACGCACAUUGCGCCCCCUGGUAUUCCGGGGGGCAUGCCUGUUCGAGCGUCAUUUCACCACUCAAGCCUCGCUUGGUAUUGGGCGACGCGGUCCGCCGCGCGCCUCAAAUCGACCGGCUGGGUCUUUCGUCCCCUCAGCGUUGUGGAAACUAUUCGCUAAAGGGUGCCGCGGGAGGCCACGCCGUAAAACAACCCCAUUUCUAAGGUUGACCUCGGAUCAGGUAGGGAUACCCGCUGAACUUAAGCAUAUCAAUAAGCGGAGGAAAGGGCGAUCC
rnacentral:rRNA from 1 species